rnacentral:rRNA from 1 species
GGCUUCUUGUUACUUUAAUAUAAGAAGUCUGACCUGCCCAGUGAAAUUUUUAACGGCCGCGGUACUCUGACCGUGCAAAGGUAGCAUAAUCACUUGCCUUAUAAUUGAAGGCUUGUAUGAAUGGUUUGACAAGAAUAAAGCUGUCUCUUUUUAAAUACAUAGAAUUUGAUUUUUAGGUGAAGAAGCCUAAAUUAAAUUGAAAGACAAGAAGACCCUAUCGAGCUUGAAAACUUUUUAUUAUAUAAUGAUUAAAUCAAGUUUUAAUAAAAAUUUUUAGUUGGGGCGACUAAGGAACAAAAAAGCUUCCUUUAGAAUUAUUUACUAAUAAGUUUUGAUCCAAAAUAUUUGAUUAAAAAAAUUAGUUACCGUAGGGAUAACAGCAUAAUUUUUCUUGAGAGCUCAUAUCGAAAGAAAAGUUUGUGACCUCGAUGUUGGACUAGGAUAUCCUGAUAGAUGUANAAGUCUUCAAUGGUUGGUCUGUUCGACCAGUAAUAUCCU